rnacentral:pre_miRNA from 17 species
UGUAAACAUCCUACACUCAGCUUUAGUGUGUCAAUACGGCUGAGAGGAGGGUGUUUGCU